rnacentral:rRNA from 1 species
GAUGAACGCUGGCGGCGUGCCUAAGACAUGCAAGUCGAGCGAACAGACGAGGAUGUUGCUCCUGUGACGAUAGCGGCGGACGGGGGUGUAACACGUGGAUAAUCUACCUAUAAGACUUGGAUAACCUCGGGAAACCGGAGCAAAUACCGGAUAAUCUAUUGAACCGCAUGGUUCAAUAGUGAAAUUCGGCUUUGCUGUCACUUAUAGAUGGAUCCGCGCCGCAUUAGCUAGUUGGUCAGGUAACGGCUUACCAAGGCAACGAUGCGUAGCCGACCUGAGAGUGCGCUGGGCCACCCAGGAUCUGAGCCACGGCCCAGCCUCCUGCGGGACGCGCCAGAAGGGAACCUUCCGCAAUGGUCGCAAGCCUGACGGACCGCCGCCGCGUGAGAUAUGACGUUCUUCGGAGCGUAAAGCUCUGUUAUUCGGGAAGAACAAAUGUGUACGUAACUGUGCACGUCUUGACGGUACCAAGUCAAGAAGCAACGGCUAACUACGUG